rnacentral:rRNA from 1 species
UGAAUACGAGACGCUAAGGCGUCGAAGUAGUGUAUGUCAUACUUCCAAGAAAAGCUUGCACUGUCAUAGAUAAAAAACGCCUGUACCAUAACCGACACAGGUGGGUAGGUAGAGUAUACUAAGGGGCGCGAGAUAACUCUCUCUAAGGAACUCGGCAAAAUAACUCCGUAACUUCGGGAGAAGGAGUGCCUUAUUAUUAAGGCUGCAAUAACAAGAUCCAAGCAACUGUUUAUCAAAAACACAGGUCUCCGCUAAGUCGUAAGACGAUGUAUGGGGGCUGACGCCUGCCCAGUGCCAGAAGGUUAAAGAAGUUGGUUAGCAUUUGCGAAGCUGAUAACUGAAGCCCUGGUGAACGGCGGCCGUAACAAUAACGGUCCUAAGGUAGCGAAAUUCCUUGUCGGGUAAGUUCCGACCCGCACGAAAGGCGUAAUGAUUUGGAUACUGUCUCGGAGAGGGGCUCGGUGAAAUAGACUUGUCUGUGAAGAUGCGGACUACCUGCACCAGGACAGAAAGACCCUAUGAAGCUUUACUGUAACUUGAAAUUGAAAUUGGACUUUAUUCGCGCAGCAUAGGUGGGAGGCGUUGAUUAUAAUCUUGUGGGAUUAUUGGAGCCAUCAGUGAGAUACCACUCUUGUAAUGUUAGAUUUCUAACUUUGAAUCAUUAUCUGGUCAAAGAACAGUUUCAGGCGGGCAGUUUGACUGGGGCGGUCGCCUCCUAAACGGUAACGGAGGCGUACAAAGGUUUCCUCUGAACGGUUAGAAAUCGUAUCUAGAGUGUAAAGGCAUAAGGAAGCUUGACUGUGAGACCUACAAGUCGAGCAGGGACGAAAGUCGGUCUUAGUGAUCUGACGGUACUGAGUGGAAAGGCCGUCACUCAACGGAUAAAAGUUACUCUAAGGAUAACAGGCUGAUCUCCCCCAAGAGUUCACAUCGACGGGGAGGUUUGGCACCUGGAUGUCGGCUCAUCGCAUCCUGGGGCGGUAGUACGUCCCAAGGGUUGGGCUGUUCGCCCAUGAAAGCGGUACGCGAGCUGGGUUCAGAACGUCGUGAGACAGUUCGGUCCAUAUCCGGUGUAGGCGUUAGAAUAUUGAGAGGAGCCUUUUUUAGUACGAGAGGACCGAGAAGGACAUACCUCUGGUGUACCAGUUAUCGUGCCAACGGUAAACGCUGGGUAGCUAUGUAUGGAGUGGAUAACCGCUGAAAGCAUCUAAGUGGGAAGCCCACCUCAAGAUAAGUAUUCUC